CAGUCGAACGAAGCACCUUAUUUGAUUUUCUUCGGAACUGAAGAUUUGGAGACCGAUUGGCGGACGGGUGAGUAACGCGUGGGUAACCUGCCCUGUACAGGGGGAUAACAAUCAGAAAUGACUGCUAAUACCGCAUAAGACCACAGCACCGCAUGGUGCAGGGGUAAAAACUCCGGUGGUACAGGAUGGACCCGCGUCUGAUUAGCUGGUUGGUGAGGUAACGGCUCACCAAGGCGACGGUCAGUAGCCGGCUUGAGAGAGUGAACGGCCACAUUGGGACUGAGACACGGCCCAAACUCCUACGGGAGGCAGCAGUGGGGAAUAUUGCACAAUGGGGGGAACCCUGAUGCAGCGACGCCGCGUGAGUGAAGAAGUAUUUCGGUAUGUAAAGCUCUAUCAGCAGGGAAGAAAAUGACGGUACCUGACUAAUAAGCCCCGGCUAACUACGUGCCAGCAGCCGCGGUAAUACGUAGGGGGCAAGCGUUAUCCGGAAUUACUGGGUGUAAAGGGUGCGUAGGUGGUAUGGCAAGUCAGAAGUGAAAACCCAGGGCUUAACUCUGGGACUGCUUUUGAAACUGUCAGACUGGAGUGCAGGAGAGGUAAGCGGAAUUCCUAGUGUAGCGGUGAAAUGCGUAGAUAUUAGGAGGAACAUCAGCGGCGAAGGCGGCUUACUGGACUGAAACUGACAC
rnacentral:rRNA from 1 species